GUGGAAGUAAAAGUCGUAACAAGGUUU
rnacentral:rRNA from 1 species